ensembl:lncRNA
GUGUAUUUAGUCCCUGUGUUUCUCUGAGUCAGUGUUGCGUCGUACCCUCAACAAGCUGUGUGUGUUUUGCCUCCGUGUUGCCAGUGUUUUGUUUCCAGUUCCAGUUCAGUGUUUUGUGCUUCAGUGUUUUAGUCCACCAGUGUUUUUGUUUGUCUUUUGGUGAGUUUAGUUAGUAAGAGGUUUUCCAGCAUUAAAGCUGCGCUUUAAGUUGAAUUUCUGUGUCUGAGUCCUGCAUUUUGGAUCCACCACUCCUGCUUGCCCACCUGCCACACAGCCAACCAUGACAGAAGGAGAGCCUGUCGCCGAAGUUUAAAUAUAUUUUUAAAAACUGUGGCUAGGCCUCCACCCUUCCCUGAAAGUCGCGGUGAGCUGAAACAGUCGAGAGGAAGGAAUUCAGAGAAGGAAGAGAGCUCACCAGAGCGAAUCCAGGUUUCUGUCAGGAACAGAACAGGUGCAGGGUCAGGUCUUUUAGUGAGCUUUGAGCUCCACGAGAAAAGACCAGUGAUUCCAAUUGAUGGCGAGCCUCCCAGUGUGAUUUCCAGGAUCCAGAUCUACACAACAAGUCAGACGGCCAAUGGUUUAUCUGGUUUCUGGUAGGAUUCCACCAGUCACCCCGACUGGCAACAGUGAACAGACAAAAAGACUAUAAAAACACUAAGUGUGAAACUUCACUGGACCUUUUUGCUGACUGACAGAUCCUUACAGAUCAUUCCCUCAUCCGAUCUGUGCUUUGACUUGACUGACCCUCUAUAAACUCUGAGGAACCAACUGAACUAUAAGGUUGCAACCUAACAAAUACUUUCAAAGGGACAAUUUCAAUUAUUAAGGACAAUGCAUUUUAUAUCUGUUUUUAUUUUAAGGGCCCUAGUUGUUGUUUUUUUUGCUGUGAAACUGUUACUGUUGAAAGUCACAGUGAACUGAAAUUUCUGUGCAUUCUGAUUAAUCGCAUAUAAAAAUUAAAGUUAAAAAUAAAAUACCUGUACAACAAAAUACACAAUACACAAUAUAGAAAUAUAUGAAGAAAUAUAAGAAACAAUAAGAGCAGCUGUACGAGUAAUAAAUGGUAUGAAGAAACAUAAUGUGCAGGGUUGUGUAAUCCACAUGUGUAAGUGUCUUGUGCAGUGCAAAUAUGCUUAAAGUGAUUUAUUUAAGUGACUUGUGAUAAAGUGAUCCGAUUAGAUGACCACGCAGUGUAGUUGUGCAGCAGCUACUGGUGUAAACAAAUGUCCAGAAUGUCCACUGUGUGUGUAAGAACCACAUGUGUGGGUCAGUACUGUGUGGUGGUGUGAUUGAGAGACCGUAUCGCCUGCGGGAAGAAGCUCC